GCCUGCAUGAAGUUGGAAUUGCUAGUAAUCGCGAAUCAGAAUGUCGCGGUGAAUACGUUCCCGGGCCUUGUACACACCGCCCGUCACACCAUGAGAGUCGAUAACACCCGAAGCCUGUGAGCUAACCGUAAGGAGGCAGCAGUCGAAGGUGGGGUUGAUGAUUGGGGUGAAGUCGUAACAAGGUAUC
rnacentral:rRNA from 1 species